rnacentral:rRNA from 1 species
UACGUAGGGCGCAAGCGUUAUCCGGAAUUAUUGGGCGUAAAGAGCUCGUAGGCGGUUUGUCGCGUCUGCCGUGAAAGUCCGGGGCUCGACUCCGGAUCUGCGGUGGGUACGGGCAGACUAGAGUGAUGUAGGGGAGACUGGAAUUCCUGGUGUAGCGGUGAAAUGCGCAGAUAUCAGGAGGAACACCGACGGCGAAGGCAGGUCUCUGGGCAUUAACUGACGCUGAGGAGCGAAAGCAUGGGGAGCGAACAGG